CCUACGGGCGGCUGCAGUGGGGAAUAUUGGACAAUGGGCGAAAGCCUGAUCCAGCCAUGCCGCGUGUGUGAAGAAGGCCUUCGGGUUGUAAAGCACUUUCAGUGGGGAAGAAAGCCUUGGGGCUAAUACCCUCGAGGAAGGACAUCACCCACAGAAGAAGCACCGGCUAACUCCGUGCCAGCAGCCGCGGUAAUACGGAGGGUGCGAGCGUUAAUCGGAAUUACUGGGCGUAAAGCGCGCGUAGGCGGUCUGAUAAGCCGGUUGUGAAAGCCCCGGGCUCAACCUGGGAACGGCAUCCGGAACUGUGAGGUUAGAGUGCAGGAGAGGAAGGUAGAAUUCCCGGUGUAGCGGUGAAAUGCGUAGAGAUCGGGAGGAAUACCAGUGGCGAAGGCGGCCUUCUGGACUGACACUGACGCUGAGGUGCGAAAGCGUGGGUAGCAAACAGGAUUAGAUACCCUAGUAGUC
rnacentral:rRNA from 1 species